rnacentral:rRNA from 1 species
CGCCUUGCCAGCCCGCUACAGAAACUUAAAGGAAGUUGACGGGGGCCCGCACAAGCGGUGGAGUAUGUGGUUUAAUUCGAUGCAACGCGAAGAACCUUACCUGGUCUUGACAUCCCGGAGACCCUUAGGAAACUAGGGGGUGCUUCCAUCUGGAAGAAUCUGGAGACAGGUGCUGCAUGGCUGUCGUCAGCUCGUGUCGUGAGAUGUUGGGUUAAGUCCCGCAACGAGCGCAACCCUUGCCUUUAGUUGCCAGCAGUUCGGCUGGGCACUCUAAAGGGACUGCCGGUGUUAAACCGGAGGAAGGUGGGGAUGACGUCAAGUCCUCAUGGCCUUUAUGACCAGGGCUACACACGUACUACAAUGGCCGAUACAAAGGGCAGCGACACUGCGAGGUGAAGCCAAUCCCGUAAAAUCGGUCUCAGUCCGGAUUGGAGUCUGCAACUCGACUGCAUGAAGUUGGAAUCGCUAGUAAUCGUGGAUCAGCCAAGCCGCGGUGAAUACGUUCCCGGGCCUU